GACAGAGGGUGCAAACGUUUGUUCGGAAUUACUGGGCGUAAAGCGCGUGUAGGCAGCUCUGCAAGUCGGAUGUGAAAGCCCUGGGCUCAACCUAGGAAGUGCACUCGAAACUGCAGAGCUUGAGUCUCGGAGAGGGUCGGCGGAAUUCUCGGUGUAGAGGUGAAAUUCGUAGAUAUCGAGAGGAACACCGGUGGCGAAGGCGGCAUCCUGGACCGACACUGACGCUGAGGAGCGAAAGCCAGGGGAGCAAACGGG
rnacentral:rRNA from 1 species